UGGGGGAUAACUACUCGAAAGAGUGGCUAAUACCGCAUACNAUCUACGGAUGAAAGCGGGGGAUCGCAAGACCUCGCGCGGACGGAGCGGCCGAUGGCAGAUUAGGUAGUUGGUGGGAUAAAAGCUUACCAAGCCGACNAUCUGUAGCUGGUCUGAGAGGACGACCAGCCACACUGGGACUGAGACACGGCCCAGACUCCUACGGGAGGCAGCAGUGGGGAAUUUUGGACAAUGGGGGAAACCCUGAUCCAGCCAUGCCGCGUGCAGGAUGAAGGCCUUCGGGUUGUAAACUGCUUUUGUACGGAACGAAAAGACUCUUUCUAAUACAGAGGGUCCAUGACGGUACCGUAAGAAUAAGCACCGGCUAACUACGUGC
rnacentral:rRNA from 1 species